rfam:Actinomyces radicidentis strain CCTG 36733, complete genome.
CACGUGCUCCGGGGUCGGUGAAAGUCCGAGCCGGCGGUGACAGUCCGCGACCCGAGAGCGUCCUCCGUCGGAGGCCGCGAUCGGUUGAGCUGGUGGAACUCCAGCACCGACGGUGAGAGUCCGGAUGGGAGGAAGCACGAG